rnacentral:misc_RNA from 1 species
AUAUCACCGCUUAAAAAUCGGUCAUUGUUGAUGUUUAUGUUGUGUUGUGUUUAUUCGUCUUUGGUCUUUAAAUGCUCAUGGUAGAAAUAUUUAGUAGAAUGAAGACUGCGUAAAUACACAAUAAAGAACUACCAAAGUGGAACAAGAUAAACAAAGGCCAGAAUGACUUUCUCUAUGAAUUAUCCUCCGUACAACUUUCACUCAAUACUGUGGAAUUCAAGAGAAAGAAGAGACUUCUUUCCUGAUUGUGGAAGCUUAUGUGGUGUACAUGUUAACGAAACUGGAAAAGCGACUGUUCAAAAGGAACACAACAGUUGUAAAGGAGAACAUCUUUAUGCAAAGUUUUCAAGCCUCCCUUUAUUCCAGAAGCCUGAUGUUUUACAAGAACAUGAUGCCAUUGGGAUUCAUCGCCUCAACUACAUUAAAAAGAAAAUGACUUCCUUACACAAAAGACUUAAAAUAAUGAAGACUCUAUGUCAUCAGGAUGCCACUUGGCAGAUUCAUCUGUUGGAAAUUCUUAAGGCCUUACAUGCCACAGAAGAAGCGAAUGUGACUGAAACCAGUGCAUUGAAAAUGUUUUAUGCUAACAAUUAUUUACGAAACUUUUAUGAAGCACUUGGGAAGUUUUUGGAUGUCCAAAAUGUUUGGCAUUCCAAUCAUAAAUUUAUAGGUGGAUGUUUGCAAACAUUGAACUUCUCCAACCAAGCAGAUUCUACAAUAUCACUAGCUGCCAUAACUGGGCCUGAUUUCAAAACAAUCAAAAUCAUCACACCCAAGGUAAAUGACUCCAGCCUGCUUAACUUGGACAAAAAAUUUGUUCACAAGAUUAAAGUGAAUGAAGAAAUGUUUGACCUGUCUUGUCAAACUUUGUAUGACACAACAUACUGUUUAACUCGAACUGUUGACAAAUGUUUUCUGUUUGAGAUAAGCUGUGACAGUGAUGGAGAUGGAAUAAGCAGCUCUUUAAAGAAUACUCUUCAUUGUGAAGGGAAGACAUAUACUUCAGUAAACUUGAGUCCGUAUAUUGUGGGAGAAUGUCUUGUAGCUGACCAUACAAAUUCUGUCUUUCUGUGGGAUUGCAACAGAAGUGUUCAGAAUGUGGUUAAUCAACACCCUCACCGAUUCCCUUGCAAGUCAAAUUGGUGUAAUGUCCACUACGCUUCACAUCCACGGUCAUUUGUUUUCACUAAUCAAUCAGCUAUGGAACUGAUGGAUAUCAGGACAUCCUGUAGAAACCCAAGAGAUGUAUUUGCUCUUCCGAAUAAGUUUCUGUCUAAAGAUGAAAGAAUUUCUGCCUCAUGUUGUUCUCGGACAAAUCCAUUCCAUCAUUUUGUAGCUACAGAUCAUGGUUUGUUUCUCAUAGAUGAAAGAUUUCUUUGUCAUCCAGUGUUACAAUGGCAGCACAUGUUAGAAGGAAUCCCCCAUUAUUUAUCACCAAUCCAAGGUGCUGUCCAGUCUUCAGGUGAUGAAGUUCUUCUAGCUGCCAGCCAGUAUCCAAAUGAGGCCAUAUGUGUACAAUAUCGAACAGAUCCUAAUCACCCGCCUAUAUCUAUGUGUUCUCCUUGGCGAAUCUCAAGACCUGGAGAUUUAUACUUCAUUGAAAAGAUUAUCAAUCAAAUCAAAGAUAUCGUCGUUCAUGAAAGACUCUCUGAUCCCAUCGUCGGGGUUGCUGGGGAGGCUAUCAAUUCUGAGGGCAUGUAUGUUUUCCAGCUAAAUUCCCUUGGUGACAUCUUCUACCAAGCAUAUGGUGUAACUAAUGUUUAUGAAGACAAGACGUGCUCUGCUGGUCCUGGUGACAGCAUUGUGAAACAUUCAGAAGAAAUUAUUAGCAUCAGUAAAAACUGGUUAGAACACCUUGAAAACCAACUUGAAGAAGGGUACUCUCAACGCAUGAAGGCAAGGCCAACAUAUGAGGUGAAAGGAAUAUUUGAAGAUGUGAAAGGCCAUGUGUUGUGUCAGCUCUGCAUGCCUCAAUGUCAGAAUGAUAAUGUUGAUUCUGAUGAUGAUGAAAUCGUUACAGGAGUAUGCAAAGCAUGUAAUACCUCUUUUUUGACUAGCAAACACCUGCUUAGUGCUAUUGAAGUGGACGGUAUAAUGAAAUCAUCUGAUAUCUCUUAUAAUGCCACGCCACCAUCAAUAGAUAAGCUGACAGGUGAAAACAGAAGACUAUCAAAGAAAUUAUAUAAACACUGGUAUGAUGUGGAAAUGAGUUCUUCAGAAGAGGAAGAGGAAGUAGAAGGAGAGGAAAAGGAGGUAGAAGGAGGAGAGGAGGACAAUGGUAGUGAUGAUGUACGAGACAGCUCAAAUUCUACACCCAAGGAAACACCCACAAAAAGCAUUGUACGGUGGUCUGAUGCUGAAAGUUCUAAUGGAAAUUAUCCAUCUGCAACUGCUCAGGUCGACAAAGAAUUUGGUGAACGAGAGUCUCAACUUUCAUCACCAACACAUUUUCAGUCUUCAAGCCAACAAACAGUCUCAACUUCUGUUAAAGAAAUUUUUCUGUCUUUACCAACAUAUUUACAAGAAUCAGACAGACAUAAAACUCCUCACAAAACUGACUUUACUAAGUUAUCUCAUUCUCAGCCGACCACAUCUCUUCGAUCACAAACGUUUGAUUCCAGUAGCUUAUCACCACCUCUAUCACAAACAAUCCAUUCUAAGGAUUUCUCAAAAAGAAAAUCACUGUUUACUAAGACUGACAGCAUGUCAAAGUCACCAACUUUUUCAAGUACGAAUCAGUUUGAAGAUGGUUUUGGUGGGUCACCAACUCAUUCAAAAAUGCGUCAAUCUGCUGAUCCAUUUAGAAGAUCUCCAUCAAUUGAAAGACAGUCAUUAUUUUCACAACAACUUAAUCCAUUUCACAGCAUCAAUUCAUCCUUAUUAACAUCUAUGAGUCAACCAGUAAAAACAAUACGGAAACAAAAAUACCAAGAAGGAUUUUAAUCAUGUAUUCUAUUUGUUUUACUCAUUUGACUGUGGCCAUGCUGGAGCACCACUUUAAAGAGAAAGUUUUUCUGAAGGUUGCACAACCAUUUAUGUACUACUACCUGCACCUCUUUAUCUGUAGCAGAUAACCUCAUAAAGAAUGUUUGAGUGGUCCAAAGAGAUGAUAGUCAGAAGGGAUGAGAUCUGGACUAUGCAGAGCAUUCCAGGAACUUGAAACUCAAUGGUUUCAAUAGUGUGGGUGGCCAUAUUUGGGCAUGCGUUGU